CUGCUGCCUCCCGUAGGAGUUUGGACCGUGUCUCAGUUCCAAUGUGGGGGACCUUCCUCUCAGAACCCCUACGCAUCGUCGGCUUGGUGGGCCGUUGCCCCACCAACUACCUAAUGCGCCGCAUGCCCAUCCAUGACCGGGGUCGCCCCCUUUGACCGGCAGGGGAUGUCCCCUCCCGGCAUUAUGUUGUAUUAGGCGGGAUUUCUCCCGGUUAUCCAUCUGUCACGGCCAGGUUGCAUACGUGUUACUCACCCGUGCGCCGGUCGCCCGGG
rnacentral:rRNA from 1 species